rnacentral:rRNA from 1 species
CGGAUUUAUCCUUCGGGAUGAGUUAGCGGCGGACGGGUGAGUAACACGUAGGUAACCUGCCUAUAAGAUUGGGAUAACUAUCGGAAACGAUAGCUAAGACCGAAUAACUGGUUUUCUCGCAUGAGAGAAUCAUGAAACACGGAGCAAUCUGUGGCUUAUAGAUGGGCCUGCGGCGCAUUAGCUAGUUGGUGAGGUAACGGCUCACCAAGGCGACGAUGCGUAGCCGACCUGAGAGGGUGAACGGCCACACUGGCACUGAGAUACGGGCCAGACUCCUACGGGAGGCAGCAGUAGGGAAUAUUGGACAAUGGGUGCGAGCCUGAUCCAGCCAUGCCGCGUGCAGGAAGACGGCCUUCUGGGUUGUAAACUGCUUUUGCCAGGGGAUAAAACGUCCAUGCGUGGAUAAUUGAAGGUACCUGGUGAAUAAGCCACGGCUAACUACGUGCCAGCAGCCGCGGUAAUACGUAGGUGGCAAGCGUUGUCCGGAUUUAUUGGGUUUAAAGGGUGCGUAGGCGGUUUUAUAAGUCAGUGGUGAAAUACAACAGCUUAACUGUUGAGGUGCCAUUGAUACUGUAAGACUUGAGUACAGACGAGGUAGGCGGAAUUGACGGUGUAGCGGUGAAAUGCUUAGAUAUCGUCAAGAACACCGAUAGCGAAGGCAGCUUACUAGACUGUAACUGACGCUGAGGCACGAAAGUGUGGGGAUCAAACAGGAUUAGAUACCCUGGUAGUCCACACUGUAAACGAUGAUUACUCGAUGUUGGCGAUACACAGCCAGCGUCUUAGCGAAAGCGAUAAGUA